GUAACUCUUGGGACACAAUAAUAGAAGAGGCAUUCUUCUGAGCCUUUCCCAUGCUGCAGAAUUCUCUAUGGCUGAGCAUUGUGGUGCAUUGCUGAAAUCCUAGCACUUGGAAGGCUGAGGCAGAAGGAUCAUGAGUUCAAGACCACCCUGGACUACAUGCCUCCCUGCAGCUCUCAGCGCUUGCUCUACCACCUCUGGGCCUUUCGAAGAGACAGACGUGGACGUGGUGUAAAGACCAUGAUUGUUUUCCCCAGCGCUGUGCUCACUUCCUCCACCAUGGCUGGUUAAUCCAGAGCCAUUUGCCUGCAUUCCAAAGGACGAUAAACCAUUGAUCUUCCUCUCUCUUCCAGAGUGCAUGGAUCUGUGUGGAGGACAAAGGUCUCCCCCUGCAUUCCAUGGGGAAUGGACAAUAAAACUUCCCUGUGAACAAA